GACGUAGGGCGCGAGCGUUUUUUUUUGUCCGGAUUUUAUUUGGGCGUAAAGAGCUCGUAGGCGGCUUGUCGCGUCGACUGUGAAAUCCCGCGGCUCAACUGCGGGUCUGCAGGUCGAUACGGGCAGGCUAGAGUUCGGUAGGGGAGACUGGAAUUCCUGGUGUAGCGGUGAAAUGCGCAGAUAUCAGGAGGAACACCGGUGGCGAAGGCGGGUCUCUGGGCCGAUACUGACGUGGAGGAGCGAAAAGCCGUGGGGAGCGAACAGG
rnacentral:rRNA from 1 species